CAUGCGUGACAUUAGCUAGUUGGCGGGGUAACGGCCCACCAAGGCGACGAUGUCUAGGGGUUCUGAGAGGAAGGUCCCCCACACUGGUACUGAGACACGGACCAGACUCCUACGGGAGGCAGCAGUGAGGAAUAUUGGUCAAUGGGCGAGAGCCUGAACCAGCCAAGUCGCGUGAAGGAUGACGGCCCUACGGGUUGUAAACUUCUUUUGUCAGGGAGCAAUUGAGUCCACGUGUGGGCUUAGCGAGAGUACCUGAAGAAAAAGCAUCGGCUAACUCCGUGCCAGCAGCCGCGGUAAUACGGAGGAUGCGAGCGUUAUCCGGAUUUAUUGGGUUUAAAGGGUGCGUAGGCGGAAUAUCAAGUCAGCGGUAAAAAUUCGGGGCUCAACCCCGUCGUGCCGUUGAAACUGAUGUUCUUGAGUGGGCGAGAAGUAUGCGGAAUGCGUGGUGUAGCGGUGAAAUGCAUAGAUAUCACGCAGAACUCCGAUUGCGAAGGCAGCAUACCGGCGCCCAACUGACGCUGAAGCACGAAAGCGUGGGUAUCGAACAGGAUUAGAUACCCUGGUAGUCCACGCAGUAAACGAUGAAUGCUAAUUGUCCGGAGGGAUUGA
rnacentral:rRNA from 1 species